GACAAGAAAAGCGGGACUGAGAGAUGAAAGUGAAUGAUAUGAAGGGAGAAGUAUCUGUGCUGCGGCUGGGACUGGAGUAGCAGGACAAAACUGAGAUGCCUGGACCAAAAUGUGAUGGGGAAGAAUGCACACCAACCGCUCCUUAGCAUGGUUCAAGGACACCAAAGACAGAGAAAAAGACAAUCAGCCAAUCAACAGAAACUAUCCCUUACCAAAAUACAAAUACAGGUGUGCAGUCUCUUCAGAAGGGUAAUUCAUGUAGAAAGAAUGUGGUUUCGUACUAUAUUCCUGAAAGAGAUUGAAGAGUUCAAAGUA